rnacentral:lncRNA from 1 species
UUAUAUAUCACAAGCACACACACAUUUCAUAAAUCCAACGAAAAUCCAUCAAAGUUCAACAUCAUAGGUUUACUAUUAGAAGUUCAACAUCACAGAGUCCAACAUCCAUCCCUAAUGCAAGUUCAAGAUACAUCCCUACUACAAUUCGACAUACAUCCCUACGGCGGAGGCAGAGGCAGAUACUCCAACUGUGGCCGCCCGGACUGCGGUGAAGGAUUGACGGGAUUAGAGGACGGUGACAAAAGAUCGGGAUUAUGAGAACCCGCGGACGGAGGCUGCACAAAGGACAAGAGAUAGCAUGUUAGACUCAAAAUUGAAAUUUUUUGAAUGUUAGACUCAAAAUUGAAAAUUUCGGCAGCACCUCCCCUGCACGGGAAGGUUUCCAACCUGCAAUAAACAAUGGCACGAAGGCCAACAAUCCCAACGGCACGAAGGCCGACAAUCCCAAUGGCUCGAAGGCCGAAAAUCACAAUGGCACGAAGGCCGGCAAUCCCAAUGGUACAAUGGCAUUAAACUUGCAUACUCACAGGAGUGAAGGGGUGAACCGGAGCUGCUGGCAAGAGCCCAUUGUUUUGCAAGACCUGAUACAUUUCCGCCAUCUGCUUCUUCGCGGCUUCCAGCUCAUUGGUAAGGUGCGUGGUCCUCUCCUGCAGUGUUUCAAUCACAUGUCUCAGUAUUGCAAAUCUAAUCAUUGUGUCAAGUUCAAUGUACAGCAGUGCAUGUAAAGCUAUCUAGGAGACCAAGUACAUCCAAAUGUAAAGUUCAAUGUAGAUUCAGGCUGGUCCACUAGU